CAGGGCUCCCGAGUUCAAAGGGCCGCAGCCCCCAGGGAGUGCCCUCCUCGCUGUGCCCCGGGGGCAGAAGCGGACUGCAGGGCAGUGGGACCGGCCUGGGCCACGAAAAAGUAAAAGAAGAAAAUAUCAGAGAGUUUCACGAAAGAGAGCUGUCUCUCAAAAUAAGGAUUUAAAUGACCUCUGCUAUGUAACUAGAAGAGUGGACACUCCAAGAGCUCACACCUGUUUUAGUUCUGCCUGAGCAACUGGGCAGUCAUGGCUACUCAAAGUUCAUCAGUAGGACUUCAGAAUGAACCACCAGCAUUUGUAUCCCACCUCCAGAUCUUUGGGUUAGAGAAUGGAUCCCUGCUGAAACAACCGGGAAACUUCUGGCUUAUUGCUUGGCCUGAAGACAUACAGCUCAACCUCUUCACUUGCUUUCUGUGACCCUAAGUUUUCACUUGUACAAAUACUUUCUUCCUACUAAAGAAAAACACUUUUUUUCCCCAAUCAAUGUGCUUCUCUGGAAAGAUCAUGGAAUAAAGAAACAGACAUAAAAUCCAGCUGAUAUAAUCACUUUGGUGGAUCUUGGAUUUUAUGUUGGUACAAUAAAUCUUUUUACUUUUGA